CCUACGGGAGGCACCAGUGGGGAAUAUUGGACAAUGGGCGAAAGCCUGAUCCAGCCAUGCCGCGUGUGUGAAGAAGGCCUUUUGGUUGUAAAGCACUUUAAGCGAGGAGGAGGCUACUUGGAUUAAUACUCUAGGAUAGUGGACGUUACUCGCAGAAUAAGCACCGGCUAACUCUGAGCCAGCAGCCGCGGUAAUACAGAGGGUGCGAGCGUUAAUCGGAUUUACUGGGCGUAAAGCGUGCGUAGGCGGCUUUUCAAGUCGGAUGUGAAAUCCCUGAGCUUAACUUAGGAAUUGCAUUCGAUACUGGGAAGCUAGAGUAUGGGAGAGGAUGGUAGAAUUCCAGGUGUAGCGGUGAAAUGCGUAGAGAUCUGGAGGAAUACCGAUGGCGAAGGCAGCUAUCUAGCCUAAUACUGACGCUGAGGUACGAAAGCAUGGGGAGCAAACAGGAUUAGAUACCCGCGUAGUC
rnacentral:rRNA from 1 species